UGAUAUGGUUCAGUCCUGAAACUUAGUAAAUAAGCAGUGAAAUUAAAAGGAAAUUAAUAUUUUUGGGCAAAACUGUAUUUUACGGGGUAGUUCGGGGGCUCUGGUCCGUGGACAUCUUAGGGGCCAAAAACCCCCACUUGGGGAAAGAAGUCCAACCUAGGCAAUAUGGGUAUCAAAUGAAAGGUUGGACUUCUUCCGCUCAAGGGGGUUUUUGGUCCCAAAAGGACUUCCUGUGGUCAUAAAAUACAGUUCAGCCUAUUUUGUGUUAAAAUUGAUCAUUUGAUUGUUUAUUACAAAUGUGUUGCUGUUUGUAGGCUUCGCCAUGGUUAAAAUCCCCAGACAACAAUAAUUCUUGAUGUUAGGAGAAAUGGAGGCAGACAAAAUACAUCACCGUGUACUUCCAAAGAAUAGAUAAAAUGAAACUGGCGGGCAAUAAAAGAAGAAAAAAAAAGCGAAUCACCGAUCGUCGUGCAUCGCCAGGAGUGUCUACGUAUUCCCAUUAUACAGACGGCAGCAGAUACACCUAUUGCAAACUAACUCGGAUGUAAAUUCAGUAGGCGAGUUCUUAAGUGUUGAAAAGAUAUUGGUUUUGGAGCAGCUAAAGAACUACUAACCAUUUAGAAGAAAAGCAAACGGCGACAUAAAAUGAUCUUUUACACGUUAAUAAAUAAAAAGAUAGUUCAACUGCGCUUUAAAUUAAUAAAGUGUUUAUUGAUGGUA